GAACCCUUCCUUCUUUCAUUUCGCCAUUUCUCUCUCUCUCAAUUCCUAUUUUAUUUAUUUAUUUUUUUUAUUUUCACUAAAAUAAUAAUAAUACCAUACCCUGUUUUAAGUAUUGUAACUCCCGAUCAUCGCUACCCUUUCCGAUUGAUCUGAGUCCCAUAACGCAUGUCAAGGCUCUGCCCGACUAAGUUCGUUUGGAUUCUAUCUCGGAACAUCGGGACAAGGUUGAUUUAGGGGUACUAUAUAUUUAACACAAGUGCAAUAUAUAUUUUUUAAUAGCCCAAAAGUUAUACCCAAAAUUUAUACCAUGAGUCCUUUUAGUUGAACCCUAAAAGUUACCCAGUAGGUCUAUUUCUUUUCUCACCAUUUUAUUCUCUUUUUGUAAAGUUACCCAAAAACUAUUAUUUAUUAUUUAUUAUUUCUAUUUUAUAAACAAACUUUCAUCAAAAGUCAUGCCUAUUAUUUUAUUUACCCAAUAGGGAACCAUAGUUGAGACACCCAAGUAAUCCUGCACAACUCCUAAAAUUUUCAUAGCAAUCAGAAUCAGGAUCAGGGCCCCUAAAACUCAAGGGGGGCAAAACCUAGUUGACGAUUAUCUUCAUAACUCAUUAUAAAAUUCGAAAUUUACAAAACCGACGACACAGCAAGCCUACAUGCACGAAGGGCUACUCUAUGAAAAUAGGGUGGUCACUCGCGUAGCGCGACGCCUAAGGGGGUACCCCCUCGCGCUACGCGACGGUAUCAAAAUUUCAGUAUAAAUAGCAGGGGUUGGGACUUGAAUUUUGGCACUUGAACGACGAAAAUCGGAGUUACGUAGGUCGAGUUAUAAGCAAAACAGUCCAACACACACACACAAUUAUCAAAUCGCUGCCGCAAAACAGGGUAAUUAGUCGAUCGCUAUUACGAUUCAGUUUCCGGGAUCAAUAUACCCAAAGAAUGUCUAAGUGCCGCCCACAUUGGGCUAUGCUUUAUCGUUGUCGAUAAUUCGAUAACGAGCCGAAGCAUUGUACUUUGUCGUUGUCGAUAAUUCGAUAUACGAGUUGAAGUACUAUACUUUGUCGUUUGUCAAUUUGAUAAAUGAGCUGAAGUAUUGCACUUGGACAUUCAUUGUAAAAAUUGAUCUUGGGGGAUUAUCGUAACUGCUGUAUUGAUCAUUAACCUGGUUCUUGUAAAAUUCGUUAAGAAUUGAUUUAGGUUUUACACCAAUACGUAUUCCAUUCCGUUAAACCACCCAAAAAUACUCCCAACUACACCCUUACAAUCAAACAAACUAUAAAAUCAUCAGAAGAUCCAGAAUAAUAAAGUGCAUGCUUAAUUAUCGAAAGAAAUAGAAUCAAGAAAUUGUCAACUCAAUCCUGCAUGCUGAAUUGUAAUUACAAUAGAUUGGAGUAAGGAUUGGAUCCGACACUGAAGGACUUCAAGAAGUGGCUUAUUUUCAAAUUAAGAAAUAUUAUUUUUAUUAAAAGCUACCUUUGUAAAACUUGGAAUUUAUUUCCAUCCAUUUAAAUAAAAUCCGGUGUUUCUAAACUCUGAUAUUUUUCCUAACUCACGGUCCUGAUGAAAUUUCCGCUGCAAUGUUUUUCAAAAUAAUCACCGGUAUCACUGGACUGCUCACGACACCGAUUCCGGCUAGAUGGGGUCGGGGGUCGUGACAGUUUACCAUGAUAUUCACAUGUUUGUAACGUGUUAACUUAUGUGAUACAUACGUGCAUUACUUGAAGUCAAAUCCUGACUUGUGUGGUAACCCUGUUAGGACGUGGUUGACCACUUUAGUUCAAGAACCCUCUCUUUUGUGUAUCUGCCGAGCAAACCAAGGACCGUAGGUACUUAAGGAGCUUGCACAAGGAGGAGCAGGUCGUUGUGGGCAAAGGAUCAUGAAUGCUAUUUGAACACUUAUGAUAUUUCAUACAUUAACACUUAUGUUUGGGUUUAUACAUUAAUGCUUCCGCUAUACUUAACUAUGUUGGUUUUGAUAAACACCUUUCGUAUUGAUGGAUAACUUUUACUAUAUAUAAUUACAUGU
rnacentral:lncRNA from 1 species